CUGCGGCUGAGUUCGUUGUCUGAAUCAGAAAGAGGGGUUUUGAGAGGUUGAGAUGAACAGGAAAUCAAGAUGGAAAGGAUGUACUGCUUCUCAAAUUACAGGAUGGAUCGAGAAGAAUAAGGAGUAACAGCUGCUGCUGUUGAUUUAAGGAGAAGAUUACAGUGAGGAGAUUCUGUGAUUCGUGAAGAUCGAACAAUUCAACGGUUCUUCUGGUGAAUGUUUUGAACUGUUGCUCAAGUGAUGGCAGUUGGUGGUGAUGAACUCAAGGAAGAAAAAGGGGAUUUGUGAUGUUAUGGAGCAGAUUGAGUGUUUCUGAGCUCGAAUUCAACCAGGAUUAGGUGGAGAAGAUGGCGAUUAGAGAAGAUUCAGAAGGAAUAGGUCGAAUUUGUAAUUGAUGGGUCUUGAGCGCUAGCUGGUGAUAGACGAUUCUGAGAUGGGUUUCCUGUCAAAGAGCUGCUGAUGAAUUUGAGAUAUGGAGGUGAAUCUGUUGCUGUUUCAAAAGGUGUUGUUGAUGAAUUGCAGACGAGAAUAAAAGAUGGAUUCAGAUUGCAGUUCAGGGUUUGUGUGAUGCCAUGGGAUCUGAAGCUGUUAUUGAGCAACAAGGGAGAGUAGUGAGCUGUGUUCUGAGAUGGAGAAUGGUCUUAUUAAGAAAUUUGGAGUAAAGCUGAGAUGGGUUUGCUGAUGUUGCAGUUGGUUCUGGUCAGAUGGGUUGGUAAUGCGAAUGCUUGAUUGCCAUGGAUUGAAGGUGGUUACAGUCAGGAGUUGGUGGUGCUGUUUAGGAGGAGGAGAAAACUGGUAGCUGUGAAGUAAUGCAGCUGAAACUGAGGUAUUGCAGCUGUGAAUGAGAGUAGCACAAGGAAGCUGAGGUAAUCGAGGUUAUGCUCAGUCUUGCACCUGCAAUGGACUGAGGCAAUGGCUGGUGCAGUUGUGCAAUAUAGCAGAGAUGAUGAGUUUCAGAUGGAAUUGAAGCAACAGGAUGAAGUGGCACCUGAGAAUUACAAGGGGUGGCAGGUGCAAUCUGAGAUGAAGAUUAAGAAAUGAUGGACUUGGAUGUUACAGGGAAGAGAGCAGUGGAUGAACCAGGAAAGGAGAUGUUGCAGGUGCUGCUGUGUACAAGGGACUGAGUUGCUUUUGCUAUGAGGAAGAGCUGGGACCUGAAUUCGUUGCUGGUGCCAUUGAUUGUGUUAGGCAAGGCAGGAGUGGUGAGAUGCGUCUGUAAUUGAGAAGGAGGUAUCUGUUGUGUUGAUGGAAUAGCUGCAAGUAGAUGGUGCUGAUCUGUGUUGAAAGGAACUGCGAGUAAAAGCAUUGCAGUUGUAGCUGAAGGCAUUGGUGGUGUUUGAGUCCACAUGGUUGAGCAUUUGAAUGAGUCAGGCGCAGUUGCAGAUGGAGUAUGUGUUGCGGUUGCAGGUGCAGGUGCAGGUAAUGGCAUUUCAGGUGGUGGAUUGUUGUUUGGCUUGCACUGUGGCUAGACAGGCAGAGAAAUUGCAGUUGGCUAUGUUUACAGCCAACAAGGAAGUGGUUGUAGGCUGAUUUCGGAAGCCGAGGAAGGACAGAAGUUACAGGCAAGUAUGAGAGGCAGUGCUACUGUUGUUGCAACAGAAGUGCAAUGCCGGGAAAGAGAAGUAGUGGUGGUUGAACUUGAAUGGAUUGUGCUGGUUUGUUGCAAGGAGUUGGCUUGAGCUGGGACAGUUGAAGCUGCUUACAGUCAGGAUGGUGGCAGAAAGUCAGGGGCGAUAUGAUUCAAGGAAAUGGAGUUGUUGGUGCAGCUGCAGUUGCAGGGAGAAUCUGGUGCUGUCAAGAAGGUGGGUUAUCAACUGGUGUUGUUGGUUGCUGCCAAAGGAAAGUGUAUCGCGGUUGUAAUUCAAAUGGUGGUGUUUGAGGCUUUGAGCUUAUGCAGUACAGCAUGGAGCUGAAUGAUUUCAAUAGAUGAAUGUUAGAAUAUUUAUAGGGUUGGAAUGGCCUGAAUUUGGCCGGGAAAACAUGCCAGAACAAUCGAAACUCGGUAGUAAUCGGUUCUGGCUGAGUCAACUCAGUGGGUUACCCGAGUUGACAGAGAAUGACUCGGACCUGUAUUGAACGGGUUAUAGCUGCUAAUGGGCUGGAAGAUGGUCAGGCCUUGGUCGAGAAAAUGGAACCUACUCACACAACAGGAGAAGCAUAUAAAUAGAAAACUCUUUCUCUAAACCUGGGGAUAUCUCUUUUAUUAUCUUCUUCUAUUUUUUGUUCUACGGUUAGAAACAGGAAAGUUUUUCUUUUUCUUCUUGUUAUGAACUCCAUGAAUAUGAGUACCUAGUUUUCUUUUGGUUAUGGAUUAGUUGGAUUUCACGUAACAUGGUUCUUUGAUUGAAUAUAUUAGUUUUAUAUCA